rnacentral:lncRNA from 1 species
AAGAGAAAGAGGGAGAAAGAGAAAGAGAAAAUAAUAAUAAAACAUUUCAAAUUAGCCAAGAUAGAGAACAUUACUGGAGGAAACACCUUUUAAGUAGUUUGCUAUAAUAGCUUUCUAGCUAUUUUAGCUAGAAUUUGGCUAAAAUUUGGAGGCUCUCCUAGAGAUGCUCUUAGAAACAACUAGCAGCAACAGCCACCUAAUAUGCCGCCGCCGCCGCCAUAAGAAGAAGAAGGUUCAGGGGAACCAACAAAGGGGAUAUGUAAAGCGUGGGAUUUGGGAAGCAAGCCACCAACAUGCAUGAUGCUCAAACGAUCCAGGAUCAGGUAUUAGUCCAAAUGGACCAUUAAACUACAAAGCCCACACCUCCAUAACAUGAUCUCAGAUAUGAAGAUGAGUUGUAGGGGAGAAGCAGCUGCAACAAACAAGUAGCCAACCAAGAAAAUUCUAGGGAAAUAGGAGGAUCUUAGGAUUUUAGGAUUCUGUGCACAUAGCAGGUUGGAUGUCUGUCCAACCCAAAUUUUUUCUUAAAAAUAAUACCUGCAUAUGUUAUAAGUCGAGUCCAAAAUUAAAAGCAAACUGUAUAUCAUAUCUUCUCUACCCAUUAAGGUGGUCCUAUAUCUUUUCUCUCUUUUUCUUUUGGUUAUGUGACAUUAGCUUGUUUCUCUAUCUUUUAGCUACCUGACAUCAGCAUCUUUUUUCUCCCUCUAUUUUCUAUAUAACUUUAAGUACAGUUUUAAUUAAAAUUGAGUAUUCUAUGGUUUAAUUAGGGAUGAAUGAGAGUUUUCUAAUAAUAUCGAUAAUGCAUUGAUAAUUUAAGAAUUUAUGAGUUCUAAGCAUCGAUAGUUUUGUUUUAUUUUAUUUUGCAUUGCAUUUACUUUUGAUUUUAGUUUUUAGUUUUUGCAUUUGUGGAACUUUUAUUUAUGGAUAGAGAUGCAUUUGAACUGUAAGCCUCAUUACGUCCUCCUUGCCUAGGUGUAUCUUUUUAUGUUUAUUACUGAAAUUCACUCGUACUGUCAAAUUUAGCAUAUAAGUUUUGCCCAACUGGCUUUCGAAUGUUGGAACCUCCAUAAUUGUCAUCUUACGUAGACAUAGAUAUGUACUAUGAAAGUUAAUGACUAUUUGGUAUAGUGGCA